GACGGAGGAUGCAAGCGUUAUCCGGAAUGAUUGGGCGUAAAGCGUCUGUAGGUGGCAGUUCAAGUCUGCUGUCAAAGACCGGGGCUUAACUUCGGAAAGGCAGUGGAAACUGAACAGCUAGAGUAUGGUAGGGGCAGAGGGAAUUCCUGGUGUAGCGGUGAAAUGCGUAGAGAUCAGGAAGAACAUCGGUGGCGAAGGCGCUCUGCUGGACCAUAACUGACGCUCAGGGACGAAAGCUAGGGGAGCGAAUGGG
rnacentral:rRNA from 1 species